CCCUAUGAUUCGUUAAAUGGCCGCGGUUUCCGUGCUAAGGUAGCAUAAUAGUUUGCCCUUUAAUUGAGGGAUGGAAUGAAUGGUGUGACGGGGAUUUACUGUCUUAGAAAUGGUUUGAAAAUUUUUUUCUUGGUGAAAAAACCAAGUUAUUAUUAAAAGACGAGAAGACCCUAUUGAGCUUGAUUAGGAUUAUUAUUUUUUAUGGUCUGAAUUUUAAUUGGGAUUAUUAGGGAACAAGAAUAGAUUCCUGAAAUUAUAUUAUGAUGAGCUAAAUUGCUUUGGUAGAAAAAGCUACCAUAGGGAUAACAGCGUUAUCCUUUUUGAGAGAUCAAAUUGAAAAAAGG
rnacentral:rRNA from 1 species